GACGAACGCUGGCGGCGUGCUUAACACAUGCAAGUCGAACGGAAAGGCCCUGCUUUUGUGGGGUGCUCGAGUGGCGAACGGGUGAGUAACACGUGAGUAACCUGCCCUUGACUUUGGGAUAACUUCAGGAAACUGGGGCUAAUACCGGAUAGGAGCUCCUGCUGCAUGGUGGGGGGUGGAAAGUUUCGGCGGUUGGGGAUGGACUCGCGGCUUAUCAGCUUGUUGGUGGGGUAGUGGCUUACCAAGGCUUUGACGGGUAGCCGGCCUGAGAGGGUGACCGGCCACAUUGGGACUGAGAUACGGCCCAGACUCCUACGGGAGGCAGCAGUGGGGAAUAUUGCACAAUGGGCGGAAGCCUGAUGCAGCAACGCCGCGUGCGGGAUGACGGCCUUCGGGUUGUGAACCGCUUUCGCCUGUGACGAAGCGUGAGUGACGGUAAUGGGUAAAGAAGCACCGGCUAACUACGUG
rnacentral:rRNA from 1 species